CAGUCGCCGCGGGAAAACGGAGGGUGCAAGCGUUAUUCGGAAUUACUGGGCGUAAAGCGCACGUAGGCGGCUUGGUAAGUUAGAGGUGAAAGCCCGGAGCUCAACUCCGGAAUUGCCUUUAAGACUGCCGAGCUAGUAGGUGAGAGAGGUAAGUGGAAUUCCGAGUGUAGAGGUGAAAUUCGUAGAUAUUCGGAAGAACACCAGUGGCGAAGGCGACUCGCUGGACAAGUAUUGACGCUGAGGUGCGAAAGCGUGGGGAGCAAACAGGAUUAGAUACCCCAGUAGUCCCUGUCUCUUAUAC
rnacentral:rRNA from 1 species